GGCAAGUAAAGCUUCUCCUAAACACUUCCAUGUGAAAAAGGGAAUUGGCUGGAUCAGUUUGAGGUCCGGUUCUCUCUCUUGCACCAGCAAAGCCUGCCUUUUCUUACGUAACUCCAGUGCUUCAUCUAUGAUUCUUCCUGUUUCAGCUGUACUCACAUUCACGUUAUGGAUAGACAUGUCACAUUUGAGGAACAUCCUUAAGGAAUCUUUCCGGAGGAGAGGUUGCUCCUCAAAGAUCU
rnacentral:lncRNA from 1 species